rnacentral:rRNA from 1 species
CAGGACGAACGCUGGCGGCGUGCCUAAUACAUGCAAGUCGAACGAACUCUGGUAUUGAUUGGUGCUUGCAUCAUGAUUUACAUUUGAGUGAGUGGCGAACUGGUGAGUAACACGUGGGAAACCUGCCCAGAAGCGGGGGAUAACACCUGGAAACAGAUGCUAAUACCGCAUAACAACUUGGACCGCAUGGUCCGAGUUUGAAAGAUGGCUUCGGCUAUCACUUUUGGAUGGUCCCGCGGCGUAUUAGCUAGAUGGUGGGGUAACGGCUCACCAUGGCAAUGAUACGUAGCCGACCUGAGAGGGUAAUCGGCCACAUUGGGACUGAGACACGGCCCAAACUCCUACGGGAGGCAGCAGUAGGGAAUCUUCCACAAUGGACGAAAGUCUGAUGGAGCAACGCCGCGUGAGUGAAGAAGGGUUUCGGCUCGUAAAACUCUGUUGUUAAAGAAGAACAUAUCUGAGAGUAACUGUUCAGGUAUUGACGGUAUUUAACCAGAAAGCCACGGCUAACUACGUGCCAGCAGCCGCGGUAAUACGUAGGUGGCAAGCGUUGUCCGGAUUUAUUGGGCGUAAAGCGAGCGCAGGCGGUUUUUUAAGUCUGAUGUGAAAGCCUUCGGCUCAACCGAAGAAGUGCAUCGGAAACUGGGAAACUUGAGUGCAGAAGAGGACAGUGGAACUCCAUGUGUAGCGGUGAAAUGCGUAGAUAUAUGGAAGAACACCAGUGGCGAAGGCGGCUGUCUGGUCUGUAACUGACGCUGAGGCUCGAAAGUAUGGGUAGCAAACAGGAUUAGAUACCCUGGUAGUCCAUACCGUAAACGAUGAAUGCUAAGUGUUGGAGGGUUUCCGCCCUUCAGUGCUGCAGCUAACGCAUUAAGCAUUCCGCCUGGGGAGUACGGCCGCAAGGCUGAAACUCAAAGGAAUUGACGGGGGCCCGCACAAGCGGUGGAGCAUGUGGUUUAAUUCGAAGCUACGCGAAGAACCUUACCAGGUCUUGACAUACUAUGCAAAUCUAAGAGAUUAGACGUUCCCUUCGGGGACAUGGAUACAGGUGGUGCAUGGUUGUCGUCAGCUCGUGUCGUGAGAUGUUGGGUUAAGUCCCGCAACGAGCGCAACCCUUAUUAUCAGUUGCCAGCAUUAAGUUGGGCACUCUGGUGAGACUGCCGGUGACAAACCGGAGGAAGGUGGGGAUGACGUCAAAUCAUCAUGCCCCUUAUGACCUGGGCUACACACGUGCUACAAUGGAUGGUACAACGAGUUGCGAACUCGCGAGAGUAAGCUAAUCUCUUAAAGCCAUUCUCAGUUCGGAUUGUAGGCUGCAACUCGCCUACAUGAAGUCGGAAUCGCUAGUAAUCGCGGAUCAGCAUGCCGCGGUGAAUACGUUCCCGGGCCUUGUACACACCGCCCGUCACACCAUGAGAGUUUGUAACACCCAAAGUCGGUGGGGUAACCUUUUAGGAACCAGCCGCCUAAGGUGGGACAGAUGAUUAGGGUGAAGUCG